AAGCCAUUCUAUAUUAUUAAUUAAGAAUCUGUCAAGCUGAAGUUUGUUAUUGUUUAUGCGCAUGUUUCUGCAACGGGCAUUGACCGACAAAUUCAUAUUAAAUAACUUAAAAGAGCUCGACAACCAAAACCCAAUUAAUCAAAUUACAACGCCAAGUUUCCAUUUAGUGUUUUAUUGGUUAAUAAGAAAAAUGCAGGCUGGCUUAUAUAGGCAUUUCACAAUUGAAACUAAGAAAUGAGAAAUAAAGCCAUAGAAUACAUUCAUACCACUCAAAUUCAGCCAGUCAGAAUGAUGGGAAGGAUUGCAGAACUGAGUUUCACUCUCACCUGACUGAUGCAGAUUCAGUAACCUAAUUGUAUGUACUUUUUUGUCAAAUUGUAUUUAUUUGCUCUAUUAAAAAUAUAAUGUUGACUUUUUUGAGGAAUAAUUUUGAAACGAAAAAUAAAUUAUUAU